AACGUCAGCGCGCUUGGAUGACGUGGUAAUAAAGCGCGGCCUUGAGCGCGUGAUUUGUUGCCACGUCAGCAAAGCGCGCUGACGUGG
rfam:Gossypium raimondii chromosome 4, whole genome shotgun sequence.